GACGAACGCUGGCGGCGUGCUUAACACAUGCAAGUCGAACGGAAAGGCCCUGCUUUUGUGGGGUGCUCGAGUGGCGAACGGGUGAGUAACACGUGAGUAACCUGCCCUUGACUUUGGGAUAACUUCAGGAAACUGGGGCUAAUACCGGAUAGGAGCUCCUGCUGCAUGGUGGGGGUUGGAAAGUUUCGGCGGUUGGGGAUGGACUCGCGGCUUAUCAGCUUGUUGGUGGGGUAGUGGCUUACCAAGGCUUUGACGGGUAGCCGGCCUGAGAGGGUGACCGGCCACAUUGGGACUGAGAUACGGCCCAGACGCCUACGGGAGGCAGCAGUGGGGAAUAUUGCACAAUGGGCGGAAGCCUGAUGCAGCAACGCCGCGUGCGGGAUGACGGCCUUCGGGUUGUAAACCGCUGUCGCCUGUGACGAAGCGUGAGUGACGGUAAUGGGUAAAGAAGCACCGGCUAACUACGUG
rnacentral:rRNA from 1 species